AACAACUGACGGCCAGCAGUGUUUUUGUCAGAUUCUGACAAGUGAAUCAAUAAAAAGACACAGCAAAGGUUCAAUCAGAACAGACACCACUAAUACGACUGGCCUUUUGGGACCCACGGAAGCGUGGAACUGCUUUUCCAUGUUAAUUUCUCUUCGCUACCCUUGGGGUUAUCACCUUCUUUGGCCUCUGUUAAUUAAAAACUGCCUCCUGUUAAAGUUCCUUGGCAGACAUUUUCCUCAUGUCAACCCAUUUUGCUGGCUGAUGAGAAAGGAAACGAGAGGAAUGAGAAUUCUGAACCAGCGACGUGAAGCGCUGCCAAAACCCCGUCUCAUCACCUCCAAUCUCCGCUCAGCUCGUCUUUUCCUGAGAAAUUUGCCACACUCUUUCAGUGGUGAGGACUGCAUAAGCUCAGCAUCCAAGAGACUGGAGAGUUGAACAUAAUUUGGCUUUUGGUAUUGACAUUGGUGCUCAGUUUCUACAUGCUACAGAGAUUAAACAGACAGUUAUGAACUGUUGCCUUAUUCCAUGCAGAGGAUAGAUCGACUCUGAGGAGGAACGAGGGCUGUGUUGUGAAAGUAGUUCUUGUCUGGAAGACCCCUGCCUCUUUAGUUGCACAAGAUGAAAAAUGCACAGUGAACAAAACAGAUUAUUGCAGGAGGAGACAUGGUUUUCAUGGUUAAAACAACUAAAUGCUGACCUAGAGAACUGGUUUGCAUUCAUGCCUUACCAGUAGACUUCUGAGGUGAUGCUAAGCAAACUACUUAACCUAAAUUUUCGGCAGGCAGGCAGUAAUUAUGUGCUCUGUGUUUUCUGCCUGACUGCCUGCCUUGUGACCCUGGAAUCUGAUUUGCAGAAGUACUGAGAACUCAUGGCUGUGGCUGAAGUCAAUGGCAACUGUGCUUUGAACACAUGAACAGCUAUAUAAUGCUAAGUGUUCUGGAAAAAUCAGGAGGCCUUAAGGCUUCUUGAAAUGGGCCCACAAAUUAGUAGAUAUUCCUGAUCAUAUUUGCUCUGUGCCUCGGAUUCCCUCUCCAUAGGAUUAAAAUACCCCCAGUCCUCUUACAGGGAUGUUGUGACUAUAAAUUUAUUAAUGUCUGUGAAGCAUUCAGAUACUUUAGUGAUGAGUGCCAUACAAAAGCCCAGGAGAAAACUGACAAUUCUGUCUUUGGAGAGGAGUUUGAAUAGUGUUCAUUAAAGACAGCCUAAGGCCUGACUGAACAAGGAGAAAAGGAAGUAUUGAAUAGUUGUGUAUUAAGUGAGGAUGGCCUGUGAUUGUAGGAGGCAACCUUCCUAGGUUACAAAAAUACUAUAUGAUAAAGUAAUUAAAAUGCUAUCUUUGUGAAUACACCCAACAUAAUUAAAGUUGUACAGGCAACCUUCAUUCUGGCAAA